AUGAGAUCAAGGUACAUUGAACGCUUCCGCUUUGGAAAUCCACACAGUCGAGAAGAAAGAUGCCUUCAGGUAAAUGAGGGAGAAGAUGACCAUCUGUUUUGGUGGAUGCGCACAUCCCCUCCAUCCAGUUCAACACCAACACAACCAUCAGAGAAAUAUAGCAGAGAACCACUUGACCUCAUGAACGAUGGUCCGCCAACACCCAGAGAACCGUCUCAAAGCCACUGCAUGAUGAAACCACGCUGUCUCCAGCUAUUCACAAGCUUGACAUCAGUAUGCUGCUGAGUUUUGCAUAAAACUGAACAACUGAUUUGCCUAAAAGAGCUCAAUGCAUUUUGACCAUAUUUUAAAGAUUAUGACAAAUAAUGAACAGUUUGUUAUAUUACUGUAUGUCUUUUGUAUGAAGUAAAAAAAAUUGAGAGAAUUAGACAUACUGUAUUUUCUCAAGAUGCCGGAUGUUCUGCAGUGUGGUGGUUGACUGUUGCCGUCUAGUGGUGCUAGCUGGGAAAUCUUCCUCCAUGAGGUUCUUUAUUUACAAUAUAUACACUUCUGUUUUUAGAGUUUGGGGUCAGUAAGAUUUUGUUUUGGAUAGAUAUCAAUACUUUUAUUUAGCAAGGAUUAAAUUGAUCAAAAGUCACAUUAAAGACAGUUAUAAUGUUACAAAAGGUUAUGCUCUUUUGAACUUUUUUCAAAGAUUCCUGAUAAAAUGUUUCCUUAAGUAUAUUACGGAAUUAAUAUAUAUCUGUAUAUAAUACACAGCUGUUACCGGAAGGGAUAAUAAUAAAUAUUUACUAAUAUUAGAAUGAUUUCUGAAGAUCAUGUGACACUGAAGACUGGAGUAAUGAUGCUGAAAAUUCUGCUUUGAUCCCAGAAGUAAAUUACAUUUUAAAAUAUAUUAAAAUACAAAUCAGUUCUUCUAAAUUGUAAUAAUAUUUCACAAUAUUACUGUUUUUACUGUAUUUUUGAUCAAAUACAUACAGC
rnacentral:lncRNA from 1 species